rnacentral:rRNA from 1 species
UACGGAGGGUGCUAGCGUUAUCCGGAAUCACUGGGCGUAAAGGGCGCGUAGGCGGCCUGUUAAGUCCGAUGUUAAAGACUGGGGCUCAACCCCAGCAUUGCGUUGGAUACUGGCAGGCUUGACGGUUGGAGAGGCGAGUGGAAUUACCAGUGUAGCGGUGAAAUGCGUAGAUACUGGUAGGAACACCCAUUGCGAAGGCAGCUCGCUGGACAACACGUGACGCUGAGGCGCGAAAGUGUGGGGAGCAAACCGGAUUAGAUAUCCCGGUA